GCGCGGUUAGCUCAGAGGGAGAGCACUACCUUGACACGGUAGGGGUCACAGGUUCGAUCCCUGUACCGCGCA
rnacentral:tRNA from 1 species